rnacentral:lncRNA from 1 species
UUAAAAUUAAAAGAAAAUUAAAAAUAAGUUACUUUAGUAAACAAAGAAGAGUGACUGGCUAUAAAAUGUCGUAUAGCCUACGUUCAUGAUCAAUUUCAUACCAGUCAUUUGGAUGGAGACUCGUCAGCCUCAAUAUUGCAUCAGACAUCUAAUAGUUGUUCAUUUGUACCAAAAUUUAUGUACAACAAGAAAAUAAGUGAUAAUUCAUAGAAGAACUUUUAUGGAUAUUACCUACUACAUGAAUCACCGAAAGUACCGAAUCCUCUGUUAAUAUGUUCCAUCUAAUACCUGAUUACAUAAAAAAAAUAUGUUAUUUGUAUGUUCUAUCUGUAAAGAAAGAAAAAAAACAAGUAGCAGAAAGAGAGUUUAUUCAACACAUGAAAAAAAUGGAAUGAACUAUACUCAUGUCUAACAUCUCUGUUAUCUAGUUUUAUGAAAAAGAAUUUGUAUAAGGCAAUUUUUUUUAGGCAGUUAUGCAAAAAUUUAAAGAAAACACAAUAUCGUGAAUGAAAUACAUGGUGGAAAAAAACAACUGAGAACAAGAAAACUAUAUGCAUUCACAAGUUGUUAAGAAAGAUAUAUCAAAACAUAGUAUAUGUGCUUCGUGAUGAAAUCCAUUAUGUAUAGCCAAGCAUAGGACUCGGUCUACUAGUCUACAAAUGAGAACCUGCAAAAACGUAUGUAUACAUUAAUUGGUUAACUACAAUAUAGAAAUUGGCAGAUUUUUUGUCAUAAUUGAUAAUGUAACCACUACAAGAAAAAAUCAUCAAUGUAAGAAAUCAGUUAAAUACCUCAUGAUGCUCUGUCCUCAAUAAGAACCACCCCAUCACCCUAAACAUCUAUUUCAAGCCAAUAAUUUCAACUGGGCACCACUUGACUAAUGUAGGAAGGUGUUUCCAAUGAUUUUGAAAAAUGUGUCACCUAUAACUAUAUAACAAACCUUGAACGAAUCCUACGAAAUUCGAUAUGCAUAAAGGAAAACUUCAUCAAUCGCGAUCAUAUUGACAACUUACAACUUAAUGAGAUUCAAUCCUCAAAUAGAGUUUGAAGAUGGAUACUAAACCAAGAAGUUAAUGAUAUUCUCAUAUAUUAAAUCAUGUAAACAAAGAAUAUUUUUUUCUAUUUAUUUUACCAUAAUAAUGCACAUUAGAUGAGAAGUUGCAGUUUCAAGUGAAGAUCAAGAGAUUGAAUCCGUUGAAAGUUUUACAAUUCCAGUAUACUAACCCCACUCUCACUCAAAGAAUCAAAUCUUAUUAAAUAGCUAAAGAACUGAAUCGUAUAUACUAAAGUUACAUACAAUAAUCAAUAAUAGCUAAUAAUUGAGCAUUGUAAUUAUAAAUUGAUAAACGAAUUUGGAGCAUUGUAAUUUGAAAAACAUAUAAACAACCAAUACCAUUCAACAAAAGAUUGGGUAAAUCCAUGGUUCGCCAGAACGGCAUCGGAACGGCCGUUCCGGAACGGGAACGGUGCCCUCCGUUCCGGAAUCCGUAACCAGAACGGUGUUUGCACCGUGACUCGUCGGAACGCCGAGAAAUCGGUGGGAUGGGAGAGACGGAGCCACGGAACGGCCCCGACGCGGCCGGAACGGGAAAAAAGAUUUUGAAAAAAAAAAAAACUAAUUUGACUAAAAAAAUAAGGAAAAAAAAACAUAAAAAAAUAAAUAAAUAAGUAAUAUGAUGAUGGUGGCCACGUUAGAUAAUGAAGUCUAGGAAGAUUCCCCAGAAUCUCACAGAUCUUUGGCCUCACUUUUCAAUUAUAUCCUACACAAUUCCAGUUCGGUAUUCUACUUGGUAUUAAUAUUGCUUGUAUUUUCAUAAUAUUCGUUGUAAUAUUUAUUUUUUACAUUGUAAUAAUAUUUUGCAUAUUAUUGAAUUGUAAUAUUAUUAUUAAAAACAUAUUUGAAAUAUAUUGUAUUUUUAUAACAAUUUAAUUAAAAUGUGUCCGUUCCGGCCGCGACGCAGCCGCGACGUUGCAACGGAACUGGAACGGCAGUGUCCGCGACAAUGCACUGUUCCGUUCCGACGAACCAUGGGUAAAUCAGUAGCGAAUAAUUGAGUAAAUUUAGGGCUUUUUGCAAAUAAACUAGAAUCCAAAAGAAUCUCGAAAUUGACAAUUAUACAUACAUAAAUAUGUCUAUGGCAGAUCGAUUGCGAAGACUGAAGAGAGAUGACAAUCUUUAAGCAUUGAUUCGAGCCUUCGUGGCACCAACAAUAGAUAGAUUUCGCUUGCGCAAGACAUACCUGCUAUAGUCCGGAAUUAACAGAGA